rnacentral:rRNA from 1 species
AGCAGCCGCGGUAAUUCCAGCUCCAAUAGCGUAUAUUAAAGUUGUUGCAGUUAAAAAGCUCGUAGUUGAAUUUCGGGGUUAGUAGGUUGGUCAUGCCUCUGGUAUGUACUGGUCUCACUGAUUCCUCCUUCCUUAUGAACCGUAAUGCCAUUAAUUUGGUGUUGCGGGGAAUUUGGACUGUUACUUUGAAAAAAUUAGAGUGUUUAAAGCAAGCUAACGCUUGAAUACAUUAGCAUGGAAUAAUGAAAUAGGACGUUCGAUCUUAUUUUGUUGGUUUCUAGGAUUGACGUAAUGAUUAAUAGGGAUAGUUGGGGGCAUUAGUAUUCAAUUGUCAGAGGUGAAAUUCUUGGAUUUAUUGAAGACUAACUACUGCGAAAGCAUUUGCCAAGGAUGUUUUCAUUAAUCAAGAACGAAAGUUAGGGGAUCGAAGACGAUCAGAUACCGUCGUAGUCUUAACCAUAAACUAUGCCGACUAGGGAUCGGAUGAUGUUAACUUUUUAAUGACUCAUUCGGCGCCUUA